UACGGGGGGAGCAAGCGUUGUUCGGAUUUACUGGGCGUAAAGGGCGCGUAGGCGGCGUGACUAGUCACUUGUGAAAUCUCCGGGCUUAACUCGGAACGGUCAAGUGAUACUGUCGUGCUAGAGUACAGAAGGGGCAACUGGAAUUCUCGGUGUAGCGGUGAAAUGCGUAGAUAUCGAGAGGAACACCUGCGGCGAAGGCGGGUUGCUGGGCUGAUACUGACGCUGAGGAGCGAAAGCGUGGGUAGCAAACAGG
rnacentral:rRNA from 1 species